rnacentral:sRNA from 1 species
UCGAUCGGAACCGCCCUAGCUUUGAUGCCAUUUUGUACUACUACCAGUCGGGGGGCCGAUUGAGGCGGCCUGUGAAUGUGCCCCUAGAUAUAUUCUCUGAAGAAAUUCGGUUUUAUGAGCUGGGAGAAGAAGCGAUGGAGAUGUUUCGGGAAGAUGAAGGCUACAUCAAGGAGGAAGAGCGUCCUCUGCCUGAAAAUGAGUUUCAGAGACAAGUGUGGCUUCUCUUUGAAUACCCAGAGAGCUCAGGGCCUGCCAGGAUUAUAGCUAUUGUGUCUGUCAUGGUGAUUCUGAUCUCAAUUGUCAGCUUCUGUCUGGAAACAUUGCCCAUCUUCCGGGAUGAGAAUGAAGACAUGCAUGGUAGUGGGGUGACCUUCCACACCUAUUCCAACAGCACCAUCGGGUACCAGCAGUCCACUUCCUUCACAGACCCUUUCUUCAUUGUAGAGACACUCUGCAUCAUCUGGUUCUCCUUUGAAUUCUUGGUGAGGUUCUUUGCCUGUCCCAGCAAAGCCGGCUUCUUCACCAACAUCAUGAACAUCAUUGACAUUGUGGCCAUCAUCCCCUACUUCAUCACCCUGGGGACAGAGUUGGCUGAGAAGCCAGAGGACGCUCAGCAAGGCCAGCAGGCCAUGUCACUGGCCAUCCUCCGUGUCAUCCGGUGGUCAGAAAAAAUCUCCCUGAUAAAGUCACUUUGAACAGAGGUAUGAAGGAUAUAAAGAAGGAGCCAUAAGGAUAUCUGAAAGUUCAUGUCCUCAGCUACUAUGCAUGUGAGCUUUCAGAACAGUAAGAAGCAUCUACUAGAAACCAAAUAGGGUCUCAGAAAACAACACUGCCUAACUACCAAGGUUAUUUUGUGACGGGCCAGAAGAAUCAGUAUGUUCUGACAUCAGGAAGGCAUGCAGCAGAGCUUCUCUCACAGACCUGUGGACAACUUAGAGAACUCUCAAUGAAGGGUGGUCAGGGAGGCUGCAAUAGCACCCAGUGUUGACGCUGUCCUGAUCAGGUUUCCCACUGACGAUUUGGAUGAGGACAUGGAUAGCAUGCUGAUCAAACCCGAGAGGGCAUGAGCCAGAACAGAUGUCACAGUCCAUCUUAAGAGAUUCUUCAGGCAAAGACUUUGGAGCUUUAGUUGGCUUGUCUCCAUAUUAACCAAUCGUGUGAUAUUGCUCCAACAAGUCAUUACUUGGAG